GAUGAACGCUGGCGGCGUGCCUAAUACAUGCAAGUCGAGCGAACAGACGAGGAGCUUGCUCCUCUGACGUUAGCGGCGGACGGGUGAGUAACACGUGGAUAACCUACCUAUAAGACUGGGAUAACUUCGGGAAACCGGAGCUAAUACCGGAUAAUAUAUUGAACCGCAUGGUUCAAUAGUGAAAGACGGUUUUGCUGUCACUUAUAGAUGGAUCCGCGCCGCAUUAGCUAGUUGGUAAGGUAACGGCUUACCAAGGCAACGAUGCGUAGCCGACCUGAGAGGGGGGAAGGGCAAAAGUGAAACGAGAAACGGUCCAGAAUCCCAAGGGGGGGAGAAGAGGGGAAAAUUUCGAAAAGGGGGAAAGCCUGAAGGAGACAAGCCGCGGGGGUGAAGAAGGGGUUUGGAAUGGAAAAACUUGUUAAUUGGGAAAAAAAAAAGUGGAAGGAAACAGGGCAGGCUUGAAGGGACCAAAAGAAGAAGCCCAGGAUAAAUUAGUG
rnacentral:rRNA from 1 species